AAUGCGGAGAGGCGUAGCCAGGAUUUUUAAAAGGAGGGGCCCAUAAAGCCCCUUUCAAGGCCUAUUCUCCUGUUUUUAGAUAUUGUCUCAUACAUUUACUGUAUUUUUGGCUACACCCCUGAACGGCGAAGUUGCUUGCUGGGGUUUCCUCGUCAGUAGCGACGAAUUUCUCGCUCUUACUUUGCAAGGAGAGGUUAUUGGAAUGCGGAUAGAUUAGUGAAUUAUCUCACUUAGUAAAAUGCUACCUUCCAUUAAAUGCAUCCUAGGAUUUGGCAUCAAAGAAAGAGUUAUUCAAAACAGGGAAGGCUAUAUUUCCAAGGGGAGUGAUUUACGCCUCUCCGGGGCUCGCGAUGCACUUCGAGCGUCUUUCGUCGACAAUUCGAGUCGACAUACCCGUUCCAGAGCCUCGAACAUCUCUCUGGCUCUGGAACCAGGAUAGUGUCGACACUACGCGUAUCCAAUAUCUUCGGGCAGUCUGUAACCGCAUGCUCAAAGAUCCAGCGUACUUUGCGGGCGCAUGUCUGUCACCGAUGAAACGAACAAAGACCCUGUGGACAAACAUGACCCACUGCCCCAACAGCGCAACACACGCCGCGUUGCAUAACAAAGUAAUUUAUUUUCGUAAUAAUCGAUAAUCCCAAUCGUGCGUGAUUCUGCCGUGUUCCCUAUAAAUAGGCGACUUUUACUAAGAAAACACAGUGGCCAAAGCUCCGAAGAAGAAGACACAUUUUCCCACCGCCAACAUCUUGACUAAGAUGUGUUAUGCCGCAAUCUGUUUUGUGAUAAAGCAUUUCUGUUUUGUAUACACCUAUUUCAAUAAAGGUUGUCAGUG